GAUCAGAUACCGUCGUAGUCUUAACCAUAAACUAUGCCGACCAGGGAUUGGAAGACGUCUUAUCCUGUUUUAAACCAGCAGGAAAACUCCUUCAGUACCUUACGAGAAAUCAUAAGUCUUUGGGUUCUGGGGGGAGUAUGGUCGCAAGGCUGAAACUUAAAGGAAUUGACGGAAGGGCACCACCAGGAGUGGAGCCUGCGGCUUAAUUUGACUCAACACGGGAAAACUUACCAGGUCCAGACACAGUUAGGAUUGACAGAUUGAGAGCUCUUUCUUGAUUCUGUGGGUGGUGGUGCAUGGCCGUUCUUAGUUGGUGGAGUGAUUUGUCUGGUUAAUUCCGAUAACGAACGAGACCUCAGCCUGCUAAUUAGUGAUGCGAAUGAUCACAUCCUUUAUGGGGAGGGUUCUAACUGCAAGCUUGGGGGCAACUCCGAGAUUCGGUUGGAAAACUCGUUUUCAUUCGUCAGAAUUGGUUGAGACUUCGGUUAAAACUAUUCGUUAAUGACUUCUUAGAGGGACACUUGGUGUUUAACCAAGGGAAGUUUGAGGCAAUAACAGGUCUGUGAUGCCCUUUAGAUGUUCUGGGCUGCACGCGCGCUACACUGAUACGAUCAACGAGUACUGAAGACCUCGGCCGAAAGGUUGGGGUAAACUUUUGAAAUCGUAUCGUGCUGGGGAUCGAUAAUUGCAAUUAUUUAUCGUGAACGAGGAAUUCCUAGUAAGCGCAAGUCAACAGCUUGCGCUGAUUACGUCCCUGCCCUUUGUACACACCGCCCGUCGCUCCUACCGAUGUUUGGUCCGGUGAAAUCUUAGGAUUCGUGGCAUACGCUCGUCGGCUCCUUCGGGGGAAGAUGAGUUUGUCGUGGAGAAUUUGAGUAAACCUUGCCAAAUAGAGGAAGGAGAAGUCGUAACAAGGUAUUCGUAGGUGAACCUGCAGAAGGAUCAAAUCG
rnacentral:rRNA from 1 species